ACCGCGAUAGACCAGCUGGUAGAGCAUCUGCUCGGUUUGCGGAGGGUCGCCGGUUCCGUUCCGGCUCGUGGUG
rnacentral:tRNA from 1 species